ensembl:misc_RNA 7SK 7SK RNA
GGAUGUAAGUGCAGUCUGACUGUGACAGCUGUCAUUGAUACCCAGGAUUCAACAGAUCUGGCUGGCUAGAUUGGUGUCCCCUUCCUCCCUCACUACUCCAUGUUGCAUGUAUCCCUCCCCAAGCUGCAUACUCUACAGAGGAUGAACUUCCAAUAAAGAAGAACCUUUCUUUAUUUGGGGUAUAUGAAUAGUUGUAUUGCCUUUCCUAGGAUCUCUGAACAAAUUUUCAAGGCCCAUUUGUAGGAGAAUGCGUUGUAGUCAAGUUUCCAAGACUCUAGACACAGCCAAAUGAGGUGCUGUAGUUGCCAUAAAAAAAGUCACAUAUAUUU